GGUCAAGCUACAAAGGGCGCAUGGUGAAUGCCUUGGCAUCAGGAGCCGAUGAAGGACGUGAUAAGCUGCGAUAAGCUUCGGGUAGGCGCACAUAGCCUGAGAUCCGAAGAUCUCCGAAUGAGGAAACUCACAUGGGAAACCCCAUGUAUCAUUAAGUGAAUACAUAGCUUAAUGAAGGUAACCCAGGGAACUGAAACAUCUAAGUACCUGGAGGAAGAGAAAGAAAAAUCGAUUUUCUUAGUAGCGGCGAGCGAAAGGGAAAGAGCCCAAACCGGAAACUUGUUUCCGGGGUUGUGGACAUAGCAUAAAAGUGGAGGCUAUUGUAACUGAAGAGAACUGGAAAGUUCCACCGUAGAAGGUAAUAGUCCUGUAAGUGAAACGAGAAGACCACGAGUUAUGAUCCAGAGUACCACGAGACACGUGAAACCUUGUGGGAAGCAGGGAGGACCACCUCCCAAGGCUAAAUACUACCUGAUGACCGAUAGUGAAGCAGUACCGUGAGGGAAAGGUGAAAAGAACCCCGGGAGGGGAGUGAAAUAGAACCUGAAACCGUGUGCCUACAACCGCUCAGAGCCCCUUAUGAGGGUGAUGAGGUGCUUUUUGUAGAACGAGCCAACGAGUUACGGUAUGUAGCAAGGUUAAGUACUUAAGGUACGGAGCCGAAGGGAAACCGAGUCUGAAUAGGGCGACUAGUUGCAUGCCGUAGACCCGAAACCGGGUGACCUAUCCAUGGCCAGGUUGAAGCGAGGGUAAAACCUCGUGGAGGACCGAACCACGUUGCUGUUGAAAAAGCAUGGGAUGAGCUGUGGAUAGCGGAGAAAUUCCAAUCGAACCCGGAGAUAGCUGGUUCUCUCCGAAAUAGCUUUAGGGCUAGCGUCGAGUAUGAGUAGUGGAGGUAGAGCACUGAAUGGGCUAGGGGGCAUAGCGCUUACCGAACCUUAUCAAACUCCGAAUGCCACAUACUUUGAGCUCGGCAGUCAGACUACGAAUGAUAAGAUCCGUGGUCAAAAGGGAAACAGCCCAGAUCGUCAGCUAAGGUCCCAAAGUGUAAGUUAAGUGGGAAAGGAUGUGAGAUUUCUAAGACAACUAGGAUGUUGGCUUAGAAGCAGCCAUUCAUUAAAAGAGUGCGUAAUAGCUCACUAGUCGAGAGAUCUUGCGCCGAAAAUGUAACGGGGCUAAACUUACCACCGAAGCUACGGGCUUGAACUUAGUUCAAGCGGUAGGAGAGCGUCGUAACCGGGCUGAAGUCGUACCGUAAGGAGCGGUGGACUGGUUACGAGUGAGAAUGUUGGCAUCAGUAGCGAGAUGUGGGUGAGAAUCCCACAGGCCGAAAACCUAAGGUUUCCUCAGGAAGGUUCGUCCGCUGAGGGUUAGUCGGGACCUAAGCCGAGGCCGAAAGGCGUAGGUGAUGGACAACUGGUUGAUAUUCCAGUACCACUACCAUCGUUAUUAUCGAUGGCGUGACGCAGGAGGAUAGUGUGUGCUAGCUAUUGGAUGCUAGUCUAAGCGUUUAGGCAGUGAGAGUAGGCAAAUCCGCUCUCAUAAUGCUGAGGCGUGAUGGGGAAGGUUCUACGGAACCGAAGUACAUGAUUCCACGCUGCCAAGAAAAGCGUCUAGAGAGAGAAGUAGUGCCCGUACCGCAAACCGACACAGGUAGGUGAGGAGAGAAUCCUAAGGCCUGCGGAAGAAUUACAGUUAAGGAACUCGGCAAAUUGACCCCGUAAGUUCGCGAGAAGGGGUGCCUACGAGAGUAGGCCGCAGAGAAUAGGCCCAAGCAACUGUUUAGCAAAAACACAGGUCUCUGCUAAAGCGUAAGCUGAUGUAUAGGGGCUGACGCCUGCCCGGUGCUGGAAGGUUAAGGGGAACACUUAGCGCAAGCGAAGGUGUGAACUUAAGCCCCAGUAAACGGCGGCCGUAACUAUAACGGUCCUAAGGUAGCGAAAUUCCUUGUCAGGUAAGUUCUGACCCGCACGAAUGGCGUAAUGACUUGGGCACUGUCUCAACUGUAAAUCCGGCGAAGUUGUAGUGCGAGUGAAGAUGCUCGCUACCCGCGAUUGGACGGAAAGACCCCGUAGAGCUUUACUGUAGCUUAGCAUUGAGUUUUGGUAUUGUCUGUACAGGAUAGGUGGGAGACUAGGAAACCAGGGCGUCAGCCUUGGUGGAGUCAACCUUGGGAUACCACCCUGACAGUACUGAAAUUCUAACUGGCGGCCAUGAAUCUGGUCACAGGACAUUGUUAGGUGGGCAGUUUGACUGGGGCGGUCGCCUCCUAAAAAGUAACGGAGGCGCCCAAAGGUUCCCUCAGAACGGUCGGAAAUCGUUCGAAGAGUGCAAAGGCAGAAGGGAGCCUGACUGCGACACCCACAAGUGGAGCAGGGACGAAAGUCGGGCUUAGUGAUCCGGUGGUACCUCGUGGGAGGGCCAUCGCUCAACGGAUAAAAGCUACCUCGGGGAUAACAGGCUGAUCUCCCCCAAGAGUCCACAUCGACGGGGAGGUUUGGCACCUCGAUGUCGGCUCGUCGCAUCCUGGGGCUGAAGUAGGUCCCAAGGGUUGGGCUGUUCGCCCAUUAAAGCGGCACGCGAGCUGGGUUCAGAACGUCGUGAGACAGUUCGGUCCCUAUCCGUCGCGGGCGUAGGAAAUUUGAGAGGAGCUGUCCUUAGUACGAGAGGACCGGGAUGGACUGACCUCUGGUGUACCAGUUGUUCCGCCAGGAGCACAGCUGGGUAGCUAAGUCGGGAAUGGAUAAACGCUGAAAGCAUCUAAGCGUGAAGCCAACCUCAAGAUGAGAUUUCCCAUAGCGUAAGCUAGUAAGAUCCCUUGAAGAACACAAGGUUGAUAGGUCGGGGGUGUAAGCAUGGUAACAUGUUCAGCUGACCGAUACUAAUAGAUCGAGGGCUUGACCAA
rnacentral:rRNA from 1 species